rnacentral:rRNA from 1 species
GGAUCAUUGUCGAAAUCGAACGGAAGAACGACCCGCGAAUCGUCAUUGCGUAGUAGACAGAGCCCGUGAGCACCUAACGCUCACGGGUCUCGCGUCGCGUCGGCGCGGGUGUACUCGAGACCCGCGUCGUACCGGCGGACAAACAACGUCAGCACGGAUCGUGCCAAGGAGCUGCAUGGAGAGAAUCGUCGUCCCACGCCUUUGAUAGUCCUCGACGCGGGACGGGGGAUGUACGCAAUCUCUACUCAAAAGUCUAAACGACUCUCGGCAACGGAUAUCUCGGCUCUUGCAUCGAUGAAGAACGUAGCGAAAUGCGAUACUUGGUGUGAAUUGCAGAAUCCCGCGAACCAUCAAUUCUUUGAACGCAAGUUGCGCCCGAAGCCAUUCGGCCGAGGGCACGCCUGCCUGGGCGUCGUGAAUCCCCUUGCCCCUAGGCACCCGCAUGAGCAUUGGCGGGGACAUAUGCUCGGGCGCAGAAUAUGGUCUCCCGUGGGAUCGGCAUGCACGGCAUGCCGAGGUGCGGUUGGCCGAAAAUCGAGCAUGGCGGUGACGGGCACCACGGCGUUCGGUGGAUCGAAUGAGAUUGGCUGCGUCGUGGGCUCGGCAUGCGGCGGGCUCCGGACUUUGAAUAUCCCCGAGUGCGAUCCCAGGUCAGGCGGGGCUACCCGCUGAGUUUAAGCAUAUCAAUAAGCGGAGGAAAAGAAACUAACGAGGAUUCCCUUAGUAGCGGC